AGCAGUAGCCACGGGAAUACGUAGGUGGCAAGCGUUGUCCGGAAUUAUUGGGCGUAAAGCGCGCGCAGGUGGUUUAAUAAGUCUGAUGUGAAAGCCCACGGCUCAACCGUGGAGGGUCAUUGGAAACUGUUAAACUUGAGUGCAGGAGAGAAAAGUGGAAUUCCUAGUGUAGCGGUGAAAUGCGUAGAGAUUAGGAGGAACACCAGUGGCGAAGGCGGCUUUUUGGCCUGUAACUGACACUGAGGCGCGAAAGCGUGGGGAGCAAACAGGAUUAGAGACCCCCGUAGUCCCUGUCUCUUAUAC
rnacentral:rRNA from 1 species